GGGGCUGUUAUGGCUUCGACAGAUAUUUUAGAGUAUGAAUGGCAAGUCGAAUGCACACGUUAAGUGCAAACAAAAAAUAACUGGAAACAGAAAUCAAUUAGCUUUCGCUUAAUAAUAUAGAAGGCUGCUUCUUUUAUCUUUUUCCUACGAAGAUAAUGAGAGGCUCGAUUUAGUAGGAUAUAUUAUUACUUAGCUUAGAAGUAAUAAAGAAAUUCAUAAGCUUACUAAUGAAUUUGAUUGUUAAUUAUCUUGUUUAUUAGGAAAUAUAUUAAUUAACUAAACUUGUAGAAAUUUAUAUGAAGAGGUAUUUGGACAGGGGUUCAAAUCCCCUCAGCUCCACCA
rnacentral:tmRNA from 1 species